CCUACGGGAGGCAGCAGUGAGGAAUAUUUGUCAAUGGGCUUACGCCUGAACCAGCCAAGUCGCGUGAGGGAAGACUGCCCUAUGGGUUGUAAACCUCUUUUGUCAGGGAGCAACGCCGGCUACGUGUAGCCGUACUGAGAGUACCUGAAGAAAAAGCAUCGGCUAACUCCGUGCCAGAAGCCGCGUUAUUACGGAGAAUGCGAGCGUUAUCCGGUUUUAUUGGGUUUAAAGGGUGCGUAGGCGGAAGGCCAUGUCAGCGUUAAAGUCGCGGGGCUCAACCUCGCUCCGCAGUUGAAACUGGCGUUCUUGAGUGGGCGAGAAGUAUGCGGAAUGCGUGGUGUAGCGGUGAAAUGCAUAGAUAUCACGAAGAACUCCGAUUGCGAAGGCAGCAUACCGGCGCCCAACUGACGCUGAAGCACGAAAGCGUGGGUAUCGAACAGGAUUAGAUACCCUUGUAGUC
rnacentral:rRNA from 1 species